rnacentral:rRNA from 1 species
GACGAACGCUGGCGGCGUGCUUAACACAUGCAAGUCGAACGGUAAGGCCCUUCGGGGUACACGAGUGGCGAACGGGUGAGUAACACGUGGGUGAUCUGCCCUGCACUUCGGGAUAAGCCUGGGAAACUGGGUCUAAUACCGGAUAGGACUCCUGGCUUCAUGGUUGGGGGUGGAAAGCUUUUGCGGUGUGGGAUGGGCCCGCGGCCUAUCAGCUUGUUGGUGGGGUAAUGGCCUACCAAGGCGACGACGGGUAGCCGGCCUGAGAGGGUGACCGGUCACACUGGGACUGAGGUACGGCACAGAGUCCUACGGGAGGCAGCAGUGGGGAAUAUUGCACAAUGGGCGCAAGCCUGAUGCAGCGACGCCGCGUGAGGGAUGACGGCCUUCGGGUUGUAAACCUCUUUCAGCUAUGACGAAGCGCAAGUGACGGUAGUAGCAGAAGAAGGACCGGCCAACUACGUGCCAGCCGCCGCCGUAA